GAAACUCAAAGGAAUUGACGGGGGCCCGCACAAGCGGAGGAAACAUGUGGUUUAAUUCGAUGAUACGCGAGGAACCUUACCCGGGCUUGAACUGCAGCAGAACGAUUCAGAGAUGAUGAGGCCCUUCGGGGCUGCUGUGGAGGUGCUGCAUGGUUGUCGUCAGCUCGUGCCGUGAGGUGUCGGCUUAAGUGCCAUAACGAGCGCAACCCUUUUCGCCAGUUGCCAGCAUGUGAUGGUGGGCACUCUGGGGAUACUGCCACCGUAAGGUGUGAGGAAGGUGGGGAUGACGUCAAAUCAGCACGGCCCUUACGUCCGGGGCUACACACGUGUUACAAUGGGGAGUACAGAGAGUUGGCCGUACGCAAGUGCGGUCUAAUCAUGAAAGCUCUCCUCAGUUCGGAUUGGGGUCUGCAACCCGACCCCAUGAAGCUGGAUCGCUAGAAU
rnacentral:rRNA from 1 species